UCUAAUAUGGCAGAUUAGUGCAAUAGAUUUAAAUUCUAUAUAUAUAUAAGUUUAUAUUUUUAGAA
rnacentral:tRNA from 1 species